CAGUAGCCGCGGUAACACGUAGGUGGCAAGCGUUGUCCGGAAUUAUUGGGCGUAAAGGGCUCGCAGGCGGUUUCUUAAGUCUGAUGUGAAAGCCCCCGGCUCAACCGGGGAGGGUCAUUGGAAACUGGGAAACUUGAGUGCAGAAGAGGAGAGUGGAAUUCCACGUGUAGCGGUGAAGUGCGUAGAGAUGUGGAGGAACACCAGUGGCGAAGGCGACUCUCUGGUCUGUAACUGACGCUGAGGAGCGAAAGCGUGGGGAGCGAACAGGAUUAGAUACCCCUGUAGUCCCUGUCUCUUAUAA
rnacentral:rRNA from 1 species